AGGGUUCAGCAUUAGCCUUUUAAGCUAAAUAUUGGUGACUCCCGACCACCCUU
rnacentral:tRNA from 1 species